rnacentral:rRNA from 1 species
CCUACGGGAGGCAGCAGUGAGGAAUAUUGGUCAAUGGACGAGAGUCUGAACCAGCCAAGUAGCGUGAAGGAUGACUGCCCUAUGGGUUGUAAACUUCUUUUAUAUGGGAAUAAAAUGUUCCACGUGUGGGAUUUUGUAUGUACCAUAUGAAUAAGGAUCGGCUAACUCCGUGCCAGCAGCCGCGGUAAUACGGAGGAUCCGAGCGUUAUUCGGAUUUAUUGGGUUUAAAGGGAGCGUAGGUGGAUUGUUAAGUCAGUUGUGAAAGUUUUCGGCUCAACCGUAAAAUUGCAGUUGAAACUGGCAGGCUUGAGUACAGUAGAGGUGGGCGGAAUUCGAGGUGUAGCGGUGAAAUGCUUAGAUAUCACGAAGAACUCCGAUUGCGAAGGCAGCUCACUGGACUGCAACUGACACUGAGGCGCGAAAGUGUGGGUAUCAAACAGGAUUAGAUACCCCAGUAGUC